rnacentral:rRNA from 1 species
GAUGAACGCUAGCGGGAGGCCUAACACAUGCAAGCCGAGCGGUAGAGUUCCUUCGGGAACUUGAGUGCGGCGUACGGGUGCGUAACACGUGUGCAACCUACCUUUAUCUGGGGGAUAGCCUUUCGAAAGGAAGAUUAAUACCCCAUAAUAUAAUGAUUGGCAUCCAUUAUUAUUGAAAACUCCGGUGGAUAGAGAUGGGCACGCGCAAGAUUAGAUAGUUGGUGAGGUAACGGCUCACCAAGUCAAUGAUCUUUAGGGGUCCUGAGAGGGAGAUCCCCCACACUGGUACUGAGACACGGACCAGAAUCCUACGGGAGGCAGCAGUGAGGAAUAUUGGACAAUGGGUGAAAGCCUGAUCCAGCCAUCCCGCGUGAAGGAUGACGGUCCUAUGGAUUGUAAACUUCUUUUGUACAGGGAUAAACCUACUCUCGUGAGGGUAGCUGAAGGUACUGUACGAAUAAGCACCGGCUAACUCCGUG